rnacentral:rRNA from 1 species
UAGUGAUUCCUACGGGAGGCAGCAGUGAGGAAUCUUCCGCAAUGGGCGAAAGCCUGACGGAGUGACACCGCGUGGAGGAUGACGCGUUUACUCGUGUAAACUCCUUUUCUGUGGGAAGAUAAUGACGGUACCACAGGAAUAAGGGGCGGCAAACUACGUGCCAGCAGCCGCGGUAAU